AUAGUUUAACAAAAAACGUUACAUUUUCAUUGUAAAAUCAAAUUACCUUUUAUAA
rnacentral:tRNA from 1 species